UACGAAGGGGGGCUAGCGUUGUUCGGAAUUACUGGGCGUAAAGCGCGCGCAGGCGGUUCUCCAAGUCAGUGGUGAAAGCCCGGAGCUCAACUCCGGAACUGCCAUUGAAACUGUUGAACUUGAGGACGAGAGAGGUGAGUGGAAUUCCCAGUGUAGAGGUGAAAUUCGUAGAUAUUGGGAAGAACACCGGGUGGCGAAGGCGGCGACCUGGUCCUUGACUGGACGCUGAGGCGCGAAAGCGUGGGGAGCAAACAGG
rnacentral:rRNA from 1 species